GGGGACCAGAAACAAAGGUGAGGCAGCCAGCAGAGACAAGGAUGUGUUUAACGGUGGCGUGGGGAGCCCAGCCUGGAAGGGGACAAAGAUGGACCAUCCGUGGGUCGGAAGAGAAGUGGAGACAGGACUGUGAGGGAAAGAGAGAGAGGCCACAUGGAACCUUAUCGAUAAAGAACAGGAGGGAACCCUGAGGGGACAGAAAAGAAAGGAGUGAUCAGGAUGAGUGGAAAUAAAUCAAAUACCACCAUGAGAAAGAAAAAAGCAAGAUAUACCACCAGGAAAAUGGAAAGGAAAAAUAAAAAGAGACUGGAGACAACGGCAGGAGAGUUACAUCUCGACAUCAGAAACCAAGGAGGUGGACAGAAAAAAAAAAAAAAACGGUCAACGAGAAAAAAACAAUUCGGAUGGAGGAGAAAAUAAAACACAACACAAAAAUCAAAGCCACCUGGAGAAAAAGAGCGUGUCCUGUUAGAGGGGAUUGAGUGGGCAAGGGGGGUCUCCAACCACCACCCCACACAGCCUCUGGGUCCCCGUGACCUUGGGGGAAAGUGCCAAGUGUAAGGAAUAUGGAUGGGCCUUAAGGGAAACCUCCACACGGGGACUUAAAAAGGUACCCUCUCCAAUCCUAAGCCUUCCAGCUGCCCAUUCCAGCCUCAUGUAGAGGUAGCAGGCUCCGAGAGAAAACCAGGGCUCUGGGGAACCAGGGAAGCGGGAAGAGGAAAUUGAGUCUAUGGAAACUCUGGAGCGAAAGAUGGUGGCGUGAUUCUUUCACAAUCUGGGAAUUGCGGAAUCGUGGGCCUUUGGACAGCAAGGUCCAAAAAGGACAGCCACGACCCCUGGGCAGGACGCCAAGCCCUCUGAAACCCAAACACCUCAUGCCUAAAGGACUGUACAGGUCCCCUGUCCCUGGCCAGGCCCUUGCUGAACUGAUCCAGAAACAGACUGAGGACAAUUUAGCCCAGUGGGCAAGCCCUGGCAACCCUGAUCCGAGGUGACCCUCCUGAGCCUGGGUCAGUGCAGCCUGAACCAGACCAGGACCCCAAGACCCCAGAGAAGCCGACACCACCAGGCCAGCCACAGAACUGAUCCCCCAGGACCCCCUGAGAUGACCAACUAGCCCUACCAAACCCCAGCUCCCCACCUGACCACAAGCCCUACCUUCCUGCUGUCUGGAGGGACAGCUCUGCUGUCAAGAAAACCAUCCCAGCUCCUGUGGCCUGAGAUGCGGGCCCUUGGGAUGGAAACUGGAGCCAUUAUGGAUUCAUGGAGGCUAAAGAGCCGUAAGCAUCUCUGGGGCAGAGCGAGAGCCAAGAUACCCAGUGCCCGGGAAGCAGUGGGGAGACUCCUGAGGAGCUCAUAGCCAAAUGGCUCCCGGUACCUCCCUGUCCAUCUCAGGGUCUCAUUUAUUUAUUAAUUUUUUCACCUCUAGGUCUAAGGCUAGCUUGAGGCAGGAGGCCACAGCAGCCGGAGCAGCACCAGGACCAAACCGUUCUCGGGAGGACACAGGGUUUAUUCAAAGCACUGGUCGGGGCUCAAGCAU